CCUUCUUCUAUGCUCCUGGUCUCAGGAGGAGAGAGUGCUCCUAGGACAUCAGGGGUGGGGGAAAACCGGCAGGGUCUGCUUCCCUGCCAAGUGGCCUCAGUCACCCUCUCCUAUGAUCUUAACGCCCAUCUCAAGGAGGCUUCAGGCUGACCUGGAACCCCCUUUCCUACAGAUGAGCUGCCCACGUGGAUCCUGAGCCCACAGGACCUGCGUUUUGGAGAAGGGGUCUACUAUUUGACUGUGGUCCCUGAGUCUGACUUGGAGCCAGCCCCCGGCAGGGACCUCACAGUUGGCAUCACCACCUUCCUGUCUCACUGUGUGCUCUGGGAUGAGGUCCAGGAGACUUGGGACGACUCAGGGUGCCAGGUGAAGGUCACAGUGCUGGAAGACAAUGAUCCCUUUGCUCAAUACCACUACCUGGUGACAGUCUACACAGGACACCGACGAGGGGCAGCCACGUCCUCAAAGGUACCUGCCUAUGCAAGAUCCACUGAUUAAUCAGCACAUCCCACCCAGCCCUGCUAUGCCACUGUGGAGUUGGCCACUUCUGGUCUCUGGAUUUCAGGUGACUGUCA
rnacentral:sRNA from 1 species